rnacentral:rRNA from 1 species
GUGGCGGACGGGUGAGUAACGCGUGGGUAACCUGCCUUUCGACUGGGGGAUAACAGUUAGAAAUGACUGCUAAUACCGCAUAAGCGCACAGGAUCGCAUGAUCUAGUGUGAAAAACUCCGGUGGUGAAAGAUGGACCCGCGUCUGGAUUAGCCAAGUUGGCAGGGUAACGGCCUACCAAAGCGACGAUCAGUAGCCGGCCUGAGAGGGUGAACGGCCACAUUGGGACUGAGACACGGCCCAAACUCCUACGGGAGGCGGCAGUGGGGAAUAUUGCACAAUGGGGGAAACCCUGAUGCAAGCGACGCCGCGUGAGUGAAGAAGUAUUUCGGUAUGUAAAGCUCUAUCAGCAGGGAAGAAAAUGACGGUACCUGACUAAGAAGCCCCGGCUAACUACGUGCCAGCCGCAGC